UACCAGCACCCCGAGUGGUCGGGACGUUUAUUGGGCCUAAAGCAUCCGUAGCCGGUUCUACAAGUCUUCCGUUAAAUCCACCUGCUUAACAGAUGGGCUGCGGAAGAUACUAUAGAGCUAGGAGGCGGGAGAGGCAAGCGGUACUCGAUGGGUGGGGGUAAAAUCCGUUGAUCCAUUGAAGACCACCAGUGGCGAAGGCGGCUUGCCAGAAUGCGCUCGACGGUGAGGGAUGAAAGCUGGGGGAGCAAACCGG
rnacentral:rRNA from 1 species